rnacentral:lncRNA from 1 species
UCAAAUUCUUGGUGUAAUAAAACAGUUUUUUCACUAAUCUUCAGACAGCUAAUUGAACAAAGUGAAAAAGAGGAAUUAAAAAAAAAAAAAAAAAAAAAGAAACCAACCCAAAUUUGCUUAAAUGUCCUUCACAUGUUGAGUAACAAAGGCUGGUGAAGGCCUCUGUCACCUGUAGGUAGAGUCCACAAGGGCAGCCAGUGGCCCAGAGGCCUUGAUGUUGAAGGCCAUGCUCCCAUCUUGAGGGAAACAUAAGCUCUUAAGCAGCUUGCUGUAGGCUCCCUGAUCAGAGGAACUAAAAUUAUCCAUUUUCUUUUACAAGAGUGCAAGGCAAAAGGCUUCUUUAUGCUUUCCGUCUGCCAUGCAUGCUCAUUUGUGGGACUGGCAGUUUUUAAAUAGAGAGAGCAGCAUUUGACUAGUUAUUUUUAUCUGGACUGUGCCCUUUUAAUUCGUCUCCCACUUCCCUCCCUCAGCUCCACACACCUGAUCCUAAAUAAAGACUCUGGACUCUGGGAGUUAAUUCCAGUCCGAUUCGGGUAAUCGAGUCUUGUAAAGCAAGCUGCCACUUCCCCAUGACAAAUGAAGAGCUCCCACUCCCAUACACUACUCCAGACAAGGGCCUUCUGUAAUUUUUAUCCACUGCACAAUUCUGGGUCAUAUAAAUAAAGAAAAAAUAAUAAUAAUUUGUAUAAUUCUCUAGCCAGAGUCUGAUUAUGAUUUGGAUGAAACACUAAGAAAUAUUGGGCUGUUCAGAGGCUAUAUUUGGCUGAAUGGAAUCAAAUCAAAGCAGAGAAUUUGAAAAGGAGCAAAAAGCUCCAGGGAUUCAGUUCAUUACCAAUCACUGGACUCCAGUCCCAAACACAGCAUGUCCAUAUUUAAAUGGCUAAUAUCACAGACUGCUAAUUGUUUGGCAACACCUAUUUUCUUUAGGGGGUUGACACAGCCUGAUGAGUCUGCCAAACUGUUUGAAAAUCGCUCAUGCAGGGAAUGAAAGCCAUACUCCAGUGCACAGGAUCCCAGGAGGGUUAUGCUAAAGCUGAUAAAAGCAAAACGAGAAAAAAGAAAAGGUCAAACUGGGAGGAGAAGCCCCAAACUCCAGUGUAAU